UGGGGAAUAUUGCACAAUGGGCGCAAGCCUGAUGCAGCCAUGCCGCGUGUAUGAAGAAGGCCUUCGGGUUGUAAAGUACUUUCAGCGGGGAGGAUGGGAGUAAAGUUAAUACCUUUACUCAUUGACGUUACCCGCAGAAGAAGCACCGGCUAACUCCGUGCCAGCAGCCGCGGUAAUACGGAGGGUGCAAGCGUUAAUCGGAAUUACUGGGCGUAAAGCGCACGCAGGCGGUUUGUUAAGUCAGAUGUGAAAUCCCCGGGCUCAACCUGGGAACUGCAUCUGAUACUGGCAAGCUUGAGUCUCGUAGAGGGGGGUAGAAUUCCAGGUGUAGCGGUGAAAUGCGUAGAGAUCUGGAGGAAUACCGGUGGCGAAGGCGGCCCCCUGGACGAAGACUGACGCUCAGGUGCGAAAGCGUGGGGAGCAAACAGG
rnacentral:rRNA from 1 species